rnacentral:rRNA from 1 species
AUUGAACGCUGGCGGCAUGCCUUACACAUGCAAGUCGAACGGUAACAGGUCUUCGGAUGCUGACGAGUGGCGAACGGGUGAGUAAUACAUCGGAACGUGCCUAGUAGUGGGGGAUAACUACUCGAAAGAGUGGCUAAUACCGCAUGAGAUCUACGGAUGAAAGCAGGGGAUCGCAAGACCUUGUGCUACUAGAGCGGCCGAUGGCAGAUUAGGUAGUGGGUGGGAUAAAAGCUGACCAAGCCGACGAUCUGUAGCUGGUCUGAAAGGACGAGCAGCACGACUAGGACUGAGACACGGCCCAGACUCCUACGGGAGGCAGCAGUGGGGAAUUUUGGACAAUGGGCGAAAGCCUGAUCCAGCAAUGCCGCGUGCAGGAUGAAGGCCUUCGGGUUGUAAACUGCUUUUGUACGGAACGAAAAGCCCCGGGUUAAUACCCUGGGGUCAUGACGGUACCGUAAGAAUAAGCACCGGCUAACUACGUGCCAGCCGCCGCCGUAA